ACAGACUAGACAUUUCCACCCCUAAAUAAUUUUCCUCAGCCUUUUCCAACAGUGAUUAUCUGUAGUUCUUUGGCUUGUGGUUCCUGCUGUAACAGUAGUCAAAACAGAUAAUAUUUUCUGUAGUCCUUUGCUAACACUUUUACUGUUACAGAUAAAUCCAAAAUAAUUGCAUUGACGUCAGUGGAGCUACUUCAGAUGGGCAUUGCUGAAACUGAAAACAUAAUUAUGAUACCAUUAAGAACAUCCUGUUUAAGACAUGGAGAUACAGAAAAUGAAGAGAUACAAGCUGCUAUAUAAACUUCAGAGCUGGACUUACAAUCACUUCAAGAUUCCAGGAGAAACUCAUCCCAAGGACAUAAUGCCACACAUUUCACAGAGAAGCUCUGGAUUAAAGAUGAUUCUCCCUCAUUGUGUGAGAGAAAUGGUAGACUGAAAGAAAGGACUGAAGUCGUGUUUG